UAGGCCGACAGGAGGACAAGAUUGUCCAGAGAACCCAAGAUCCAGGAAAGGGGGAGGGGAGUGAGCGGAGAGGACUAAGACUUGAAAACUGAAGCUCCAGGAUUAGCUCUCCCGGGCCAGUUCUGCUUAAAGGCAUUUAUAAAAGAUGCCCCGAACUAGGGCGCUGAAAAUGGGCUCCUGCACCCGCGAUCUGGCUGGCUGUUCUUAAUAGCUUUUCCACCUUCCUAAGAACCUAGUGCCGAGGCCAAGAAACUCCCUAUAUACAGGAAUGCUGAAUACUGAUCCCUGUGCCCACGGCUGCUGCACUGACCCUGGCAGAAGAGGCUAAGCAGUUGUUUGGAAGGCCCUGUAGAAUAAAACAUGGCUGAGGGGGAAUGGCCUCCUCUCUGAUAGUCCUGAAGCAAUGCAGUGUUCAAAAAAAUGCCCUAGUUCCGUCAUGCUCUUUUGAAGGAUUAAACUUUAAAGAGUUUAGCUAGCUUAGACACACUCUCAAUUAUGCUGAAGUAUACAGGAAAUAAUAAGAAAUGCCAAGACUAGGAUUCGGCCAUAUAAGGGCAGGCCAGCAUGCUUCCCAAACCCAGCAAAGGCAUAAGAACAAGGAGUGAAGCGAAUCAGAAACUUACAGCUGGUCAAAUAGUUCCUUCUAAACUGGGGGAGAGAACUUAAGGAAUCAGAAAGUCCUGAACACAUUUUGUCAACUUCUGCUCCAGAAGUUGCUGGUCUCUGACAGCACUGCACAGCCAAUGUGGACAGGGAGCUAGCUGGGCUUACACAUUGCUGCCCCGUGGCUUUCCUCAGUGAAAGCUCACUUUCUCUGUUUUUCUCUUCAUCUGGCUCUCACAGCCUGACCUCCUCGUGUGUGCUGAUUCUGAGCUGGCAGCAUUGUUGCUCUCUAAGUCUCUAACCUCUUUUCUCUGAGCUCCAGCUCCUGUCACUAUUAAGCAGGGGAAUGUUGGCCCUGUGUUCCCACAGGUAGUAAGGUUGAACUGAUUCCUGAGACAGUUUGCUUCUCCUUGACCCUGCUCCUAUCUUCGGGUACUCGUGAAUAGAAGACUAGUCUAGCUAUUCUCACCUUUCAGAGACCAAGACUCACUGUUUAUCAUUUUCUUUUACAUUACUUGGUGCCUGGACUUUGGAGUUAGGGUUGUCACUCUGUCCUGAAAUGAAGAGACUUUAUUUGGGCUCAUAUGUCCUCUAAAACUCUUAGCUAUGAGAGAGAAUGAACGGUGGGAAGAGGAUGGGAUAUAAGUUCAGACAGAUGUAGACUUGAAUCCUUGAAUUUUCCCUGUCACUUAUUUAACAUGAUGAUGUAGGGAUGUUAAAUCUCGGGUGCUUUACUUCAGUGUUCCUAUGAGAUCUUUCCUGCUGUCACUAAUAUGGUACUUCACUGGUUGCUGAGGUGACUCAAGAAGGGAUAAAGGGAAAUCACUUAUGCUAUGUGGGAAGAUUGUUGUAUUAGUCAGGGUUCUCUAGAGUUACAGAACUUGUAGAAUGUCUCUAUAUAUUAAGGGAAUUUAUUGUGAUGUCCUACAGUCUGUAGUCUAACUAAUGUACAGCUGUGGAUGGGACGUCCAAGAAUCUACUAGUUACUCAGUCACACGAGGCUAGGUAUUUGAGUUGCUCUUUUUUAAAAAAAUUUUAUUUAUUUUAUGUAUAUUGUACAUUGUAGCUGUCUUCAGAUGGUUGUGAGCCACCAUGUGGUUGCUGGGAAUUGAGCUCAGGACCUGCGGAAGAGUAGCCAGUGCUCUUAACCAUUGAGCCAUCUCUCCAGCCCUGAGUUGGUCUGCUGUAGAAGUAGAUUCCAACAGAUGUGCUGGCAGGUAAGUGCAAUCAGUCCAAGAAGUGUGAAUCUUCCUUCUUCCAGUGUUCUUAGGUAGGCCUCCAGCAGAAGGUGGGGCCCAGAUUAAGGUGUGUACCAACAUGCCUGGACCUGGGACUUGCUUUGUCCCCAGCUGACCUUGAACUCAGAUGUCUCCUUGCCUCAGUCUCCUGGGAGUAAAGGAGUGUACUACUUUAUCUGGGCCUAAACUUUUCUUCGUGGCAACUAUACCUCAAGGUCUUCAUGUCAGGAUCCAGAUCUGAAACGUGUGUCUUCCAGCCUCGAGAUCUGCAUCACAAGUGCAUCUUCCAAUUCUGGGUUGUGAUUCAUUCCAGAUAUAGUUAAAUUGAGAACCAGGAAUGGCCACCACAGUGCUAGAUAUGGGUAAUUUUCCUUUCCUAAGAGGGCCUGGCUGUUAUGCAUGUGAAAUGAAUUUAUAAUAACAAGAAGAAAAUAGGUUCAGACUAAAGUUAUUUUUAAAUAAGAGCUGUAUUUGGUGCAGAAGAAUAAACACAGGCUUCGGAGCUUGAGGUCACUUCAAUCAGAAAGUGCUUCUGAAAUCCAGCUAGGAGUAAGCAGAGGAACAAGAAACUUCCCUGUGUAGUUCUGAAUAUUAAAACUAAAUUGUUUUGCAGGAAGAGUGCACUAGUCUUAACUAUGCAGGUGCCACUGUCUUGAAGACAUUUGCCUGGUGGCAUAGUCCCUGUUCCCCCUUGGGCAACUCUGACUCCUGCCAAUCCUAUGCUGGUUCUUUAAAUAUUGCUCAGACCUUCUUGCCUCUGCUUUGUACCUGUUUUUGUGUCAGACCUUUAAACAUUUUGGACUUGAGUUUGAGUGCAUUUCUUAACUUAGGUGACUGUGUUUGUCAUCUCUGUGUUUUAAACCCACCCUGACUUGGCCACUAUGGUUCUUAGUUGUUCUGUCAACCGUUUGAUUAACAUAUCCGUUUCUACAUUUUGGUUUCCACUUACUUGUUUUCUCAUCCUCCCCACACUGGCACUUAUUCAACAUAGUGCUACCCAAGGCAUUUGUACUAAUAAACACCUUCAUUUUCCCAUCAUCCUCUGCUCCAUUUGUGUUCAUAGACAUCAGGUUUACAGAGACAGGCCGAUUUCCGAGGAGAUUCCCACCACAUCAAAGUAACAGACUAAGUGUGGCCCAUGUGCUGCAAGGAUUGUAAUGGGUGCAUAAAGGAGAGCAGCCUUCACUGUUGGGGAGCAGAGGUGACCUAGUGGGAUAUGUGACCAUAGUUGUUAUAGAAAGUGAUUCUUUUGUUUGUAGAAGGAGAUACAGCAAAGGCAAAAGGACAUUGGAAAUAGGAUACAUAACCAGAGGAGCCUGAGUAUUGUCUCAUCAGGGAAGUACACCAGGCAGGUUUAGCUAGAGGAGGAGCUGUGAAAUAACAGAGAAUGUUUGGGAAUGGUGGUCAGGCAACCAUAUCAAGGAAGGCCUUGUGGCCAUGCAUUCUACUGAGUUCAGAUUCUCUUCUUUGGAGACAGGCCUCUGGAAGACUGUGAACAAGACCACGAUGUGACUAGAGUGGAAGUGAAGAAAAAGCCACUCUCCUUGGAAUAUGGAGAAUAGAUUGAAGAACAGCUGUCUUCAAGACAAGAGGACAACGAUGCUGGCAAAAUGUGGGAAAUGUGGAAGCCCCUCAUAUAUUGUCAAUAUAGCUGCUGCAGAUAUCAGCAUGGACACUUUUGUAAGACUAAAAGUGAAACCACUAUAUGGCCCAACUGUACUCCAGGCAACACCAGCAGGACUGAAAGGCAAUAUACCACAGAGAAAUUUACAUAACCAUGCUUUCUGCUGCGCUAGUCACAAUUGCUAAAAAAUAGAGCUCUCCUAGAUGUCCAUCAAGAAAUCAAUGGACGGGAGCUGGAGAGAUGGCUCUGUUUAAGAGCACUGGAUGCUCUUCCAGAGAGCCUAGGUUAAAAUCUGGAAUUGAAGUUCCAGGGCAUCUGGACUCCACAUGCUCAAGGCAUACAUGUGUUCCUUGAACAUACGUGCAGGCAAAACAUAUAUACAUAUGAAAUAAACAAAGAGUAAAUAAAAAAGAAUGAAUGUAUAGCAAAUUUUAAAAAGCGUACAUAUACACACCAGAACUUUAUUCAGUUAUGGAGGAAAAUGAAAUGGUGUCAUUUGCAGGAAAAUAGAUGGCACUGAAGAUCAUAUUAAGCAAGAUAAGCCAGACUUAGAAAGACAAAUGCUACAUGUUUUCUCUUGCGUUCAGAAUCCAGAUUUAAAUGUGUGUGUUGGGGACUAGAGGGACCAUGGCAGGGGAGGAAGUGAAGAAAGGGCAAAAGGAGAAACCCUUGGUCCUGCCAAGGCUCAACCCUCAGUGUGGGGAAAUGUCAGGGUGGGGAGGCAGGAAGGGGUGGGUGGAUGGGUGGGGGAACACCCUCAUAGAAGAAGAGGGAGGGAGGAUGGGAUGGCGGUUUAUGGAUAGGAAACCAGGAAAGGGGAUAACAUUUGAAAUGUAAAUAAAAAAAUCCAAUUAAAAAAAAGAGAGAGAGGAUAAUGGAAUACAUGUGAUAUGAAAACAGAAAGGCGGACAGUUAUGUGGAGAAGCAAUGAGCCAGACAGGGCCAGGGAUUGGGAAGGGCACUAGCAAAAGAUGCCAGAAAACAAAAUCCGAGCACAAUGACAUCUGCAUGAAAACAGCUACCGUGGAAGCUGUCACUGCAUAUAUUCUCCACCAACCGAAAAUCAUUUCUCCCUGUAGUAUUUACUCUGCCUGUAGGAGGCACCUCCACGAUGCUCCAUAGACUGGGCCAGAAUGCUGGCAUCUUGCUUCUGCAGUGACUACCUUCAUAACUGUAUUUCUACUCACAGGAGACAAAUAUCUGCUAUUUACUUUGGAUUUUCAUCUCCUGGGCUGUUUUUUUCCUCCAUGUGGGCACUUUGAUUUUGGAUUCGGAAGCCAGUGACUGCGAUGAUGGACUAACAAGCCUUCCCUGGAGCUCAGAUACACUUCUCAUUUGUGUCCCAGAGCUAGCCAUCAUUUGCCUGAUUCCUUCUGGUUUCAUACAUUAUUGGUAAAAUAAGAUACUGAAGAAAAUAGUGUAUUUUUUCUGAAAGGCAUGUUCAUACUAGUUCAAAUAUUCCAACAUUUAGGCAGUCUCAGAGAUCCCAAGUCAGCUAGCUGUGCAGGUAGAAAUCAGUAGUUUUAUAUAUUAAAAAAGCUAAGUAGACUAUCACAGCCUUACUACACACACACCAGGAUCAUGUUAAUUUAUGAAUUAUUAAUAAUAUCCAUAAUAACUGUACAAAAUGUCUCAAGUGUAGUUUGCAGAAUGCUUGUAUCCAUGUCCCUUUAAUGGGAUUUGUGGGUCUUUUUUUUUCAAAGGUUUAAUGCUUGGGAUUCAUGGUGUUCAAGUACAUAGGGAAAGAGGAAGAAAAUAGGAUAGAUUGCAGCAUCUGUUUUAAGAAUAUUAGCAUCAGGCAAAAGAGAUUUUAAAUUUUUUCUAUUUAAAAAAAUCACAUGUACUUUUGCAUGAGUUUAUAGGUAUCCAUUGCAUGUAUGUAACUGGAGGUCAGAAGAUGAUAUAGGAUCCCCUGGGACUGGAGUUACAUGUAGUUGUGAGAUGUCUGAUAUGUGCGCUAGAAAAUAAAUCUGGGUCCUCUGCAAAAGCAGUAAGCACUCUGAAACACUGAGAAGACAUCUCUCCAGACCAGCGAGACUUUCUGAGGCUGAGCUACUAGAUGUGAGGUUGGAAUGAUACCAAGGAAUAUCAGACUGACAGAGCCAUCUUUCGAACGUUUGUUUAGACUUAAGUGUGAUCGCUUGCUGCCAUGCACACUGACUGCAUGUGUGAGGUGAGUUUUGAGGUUAUGAAGCUAUAUGUUUCCAGUUUACCCUGGAUGGUAUAGCAUCGAGUGAUAGGUCUGCUGUAGAGAAUUCACUUGCAGCAUGGAGCUAUGUCCCAUGAGAUCUCUUCACACCCUUCAGAGCUGGAUGAGCAGAGACUGUAUCAGCUCAAAUGGAGGUUAUCUGGAGUCAUUCUUCUUAAGAAGAUGCUUUUAACUUGCAUAUUCUUAUAGUGUGAUGCUUUCUGAGAGUUAAAAAAUCUGAUAUAGUGUUAGCGAAGGAUCUAACAAGUGUUUGCUCAGAUUCUUAAAUGGUCCUCUCAGACUGGUUUAGCCAAAAUUAAUGCAAUGAAUUUUGUUCACUGUGUCUAUAGGGGGUAUUGAUGGGAGAAGGGAGAAAGAAAAGGGUGUUUUUACCUUAACAAAAAGCAAUGUUUUACUAACUCUACUGGCCCUGGGAGAUAAUCAGACCACUGGCCUUAAUACCUAACAGAGGAAACCGGUGAACAAUGGAGUAACAUAUGCAUUUGGCUCUUUGUUUCCAAGGGUUUCAUACUGCAGGAUUCAACCAACCAAGGGUGAAACAGUUGGGAAAGCAUUGCAUUUAGACUGAUGUAUACAGAUUUUUGUUCUCAUCAAUAUUUCCUAAACAAGGCAGAGUGAUGGUCAUUUGCCUAGGGCUUAUGUAGUGCUAGGUAGUAGAGAUGAUCCAGAGAUGCUUUCCACUGUCUUUGGAAUGUGUGCAUAGGUUAUACCCAAAACCAACACCAUUUUAUAUAAGCUCCUUGAGCAUCUGCAGAUAUUGGUUACCAUGAGGGGUCCUGGAACCCAUUCCUCAGACACUGAGUGGGACAGCAAUAUAUUUUGUGGCAGAGGUGUGUACAAAGCACCAUGGGAGUAUAGAGGUUGUAUGGACAUAGUUCCCUCUAAAUAGUAAGAGUUUGCAAAGCAAGCUCCGAUUGACAGUGUUUCCCUGUGUAAUAUUACUAGGAUGGGAAGUAAGUUAACUCCCAUGCUCCCUGGGUCUGGAGAGGCCUGUGGCUCUUGAAAUAAGUCCUGUGAAAGGCGCACAUAUGUCCUGAUCUGUUUCCCACUACUGAGUGAGUUAUAAAGGAAAGAGGUUUAAUUUGGCUUUCAAACCCAGAGACAGAAGUGUUAAUGGAUAAACAGGGAAGUGUACAGUCAAAGUACAUGAGAUUUGAUGAAACUAUCAUGAAACCCAUUGCUUUGUGCAAUCAACACACAGUCAUAAAAACUUAAAAUAGUGACUGUGGUUAAAGCUUAAAAAAUAUAAAACAACAACAAAAAAAAACAAACAAAAAAACAAAACAAAAAACAACAACAAAAAAACAAAUCCAGACAAAUGAACAAGCAGCAACAGAGUCCUCUCUCUGGUUCACAUUCCUGUUUCACUUUUAAUCUCCAUGGCAUUUGGGGUGCUACUGAUCACAGAGGCCGGGGUUCACUUCUUUUACUGCUCACUGCAUACCAAGACGCUUUGUCAGAGUUUGUUUUGUAUUAGAAACAAACUGGUCCUUAGAUCAUGCAACUAAAGAUUAGUCAAUAAAGGGCCUCAGUGGUUACCCUUGAAUCUCCCAGGGAAGCUCCAAGUCAAACCGUCUUCAAGUCUGAAGACAGGCUUAAAUCCCCACUCAAGUGAGUCCUGGGACAUUAGUGACUUGGGGGUUAGAAGUGCUUGGAGUUGGGAAGCAUGACUCUCCACUGACAUCUAGCCUUGAGGAUGGUGUUUCUGGUUUCCUAAAACAGAGGGUUGUAAAGAUUGUAUCUUAAUGACAAAUUAGAGGAGGCACUAAAGGGAGCAGAAAGUCUAGUCUGAGGAAAUACAUAACACUCUCAUUCUCAGCCUGAAUUGGAAAAUAGAAUUCAACAGCACAGUUGUAAUUGUGUUUCAGAGAUGUGUUGAAAGAUUGGCCUGCCCUAUGUAUCUUAAGGCUUCCCAUUUGUCUCUACUGAAGAAAUAGAGAUCGUUUUGCCUGCCAUUUACACAAAGACAUAGUGUAAGUUAGUAUUUGCAGGCCAGGAGUGGUAGCACACACCUUUGAAUCCAGUACUCAGGAGGCAAAUCUCUGUGAGGUCAGCCUGAUCUACACAGUGAGAUGCUAUCUCAAAAACCAACCAAACAACAAUUGAAAUGUAAAUAAGAAAUACCCAAUUUAAUAAAGAUUGAGAAAAAAAUUUGUAUUCUGGGACUGGAGAGAUGACUCAUUGGUUAAGAGCACUGAUUGCUCUUGCCAAGGUCCUGAGUUCAAUUCCCAGAAACCACAUGGUGGCUCACAACUGUCUGUAAUGGGAUCUGAUGACCUUCUGAUGUGUCUGAAAACAGUGACUCUCAUACAUACAAUAAAUAAAUAAAAUCUUAAAAAAAAUUGCAUUCUAGGGUCGGAGGGGGACCAUCCUCAUCGAAGCAGGAGGAGGGGAGAUGGGAGAGGAAGGGAACCUGGAAAGGGGAUAACAUUUGAAAUGUAAAUACAUAAAAUAUUCAAUAAAAAUGAUAAAUAAAAAAGAAUUUGCAUUCUGCACAGUGCAAUGCAUUUAAAUUGUAUUUAGCAUUACAGUAAAUCUGAAGAUGAUGGUGAAGUAUUAAAAGGAUGACUGUAGGUUAUAUGUAACUAAUGUUGUACUGUUUUAUAUAAAGGAUUUAAGUAUUUGAGGAAUUUGAUAUCUAGAGUUUUCUCGAAUUCAUCUCCUGAGGGAACUGUCACAUCUGUUCUAAACUGGUUUCUGUUCUUAUUUCCACCUUUUCUUAUUUUCUUAUCUGUCUUUAAUUUUAUGUUAUCAAAUGUAUAUAUAACUUUGUAUGCAUGUUUAUGAGUCAUAUUCUUUCCUGUAGAAGGGCAUACAUAUGGAGGUGUUUAUAGUAACUUACACUGAUAGAAGAGGGAAGUCUCCAGAAGUUUAUAUUGUGGAAACAUAAAGUCAAAUGCUGUUUUUAUAUACACACUUCUUUUUCCUUCUAGUUGGGGUAGCUGGAAACCUGCCUUUUGUCCACCCCAUCAUUACUUAAUAAGUUGGGUCCUCUUUCUGUCCCCUCUUCUAGCGGGUGUAAUAUGAAACACAGACUACUACAGAGAUGCUAUUUGUUUUGUAAAUGGAAACAAUCUUGCUUUCUGUUCCUACCAUUCUAACCCUACCUUGCCCUUUUACCGGUACAAAAUUGCUGCCUUUAUUCCUUAUCGCCAGGGCCUAAUGUCUAUACCUGGAGGGCUUUCUUUGCCAAACCCUCGGGGACUUCACCUUAGUACCAAAGACCUCUUUUCCACCCUAAUUCCUACUCUUCCACUCUGUUUUUCCAAAACACAGUAGAUUCUCCCACUACUCCUGAGACUGGGUCCAGGAUAACCGGCAGUCACUGUGCCCUGAGGUCUUGUUGCUCCUUGCUUUUUCCUGUCCUAUGAGAGUAGAGGUGAUGUGGAAAGAGACUGUCAGCCACAGACAUCUGUGUCAGUGGUGAUGACUGUGACUGCCUUGCUGAGGCACAGAGGCAGGAGAGAAAAGUAGAGCCAAGAAUGAAGACCAGCAAGGAUGAGCUCCAGUCUCUUCUGUGAAACAAAUACUCUUGCUUUCAUGGCUCUCCCAAAGAGAAUUCUCAAGAUACUGAUAGAAGCAAGCUAUCAAAAAGGAAAAACAAAUUCAGCAACCACAGCAUUAAGACAGCUCUUAAUUUGGGUUGUCUAGAGAUGAUCAAACAGUCCAAAGGGGGUAUGAUGUAAAAAUCACAUUCCUAGGCCUAAAAAGUGACCACUUCCCUGUCACUCCAGCUACUACAGGUUAAGGAACACAUAUUUCAGACUGUGGGCAUUUGCUGGUCUCAUUACUAUGCAUAACUUGUUGCUAGGAUGCUUUUUUUGCUCUAGGAUAUACACUAGAUCAUUAUCGUGGGUCCUUGUCUUAAGUGAACUUGGACAUUUAAAUGGAAAUGUUGAAAUAUUCUAAAUCAGCCCUUGAUAAGCCCAAAGCAGGUAAACACAUUAAAGCCCCAGAACAUCUGAGGAAAGUAUGAUCAGUGUGGGCUGGGAUGGCAAGGAAAGGCUUUAUUAGAGGUUCUUGGGCCAUGCUGAGUGGAAAGUGUGGGUGCAUGUGGGGGUUGUGUUUCCAUGCCAUGCAUUUCCAGGAGCACUCCAGCCAUUCCUCAAUAUGGGGUCCCACCCUCGGUCACUUAGCCCUGACUUGUGAGGGCAGCAAUUGGAAGAGGAGGGUGUAGCAGUAGCUGGGGAUUGUGGCUGACACUAAGCCUCUACGUUAACUCAGGUAUGUAUGGGGGCAGUGGCAAGCAUUUACCUGGAAGAGUUUUCACCCUUCAGGCUUAAGUCAACCUCUCCUCUAUCAGGAUAUGUUGACCCACUGUGUCUCGUUGAUGGAUUCACCAAACACAGACAGAUUAUGUUUUCAAUCAGAACCAUGUUCCGCAUAGCACAUUCUGACAGAAACCUGGGGUUUUGCUUGGUGGAAGCUAUAGCACCACCUUGUGGAAAUACAUUUUUCAGCCCACAAGCUGUUUCCUGCCCCACCCCCACACCGGCACCCCUUUACAGGGUUACAAGUGUCUUCCAGAAUGUUUUAGAAAAUAUUCUGUGCUGUUAGGUUAUGUUUGCAUCAAAGACCCGAAGAGUAUUUUGAGUUUGCAGCUUUUCGCUUGGAUAUGUGGGUUGAUCUGUGUUACUGCAUGAAGAGUUCCUUUGCUUGUUUUGUUUGGAAGUACUUCUCUAGUCUCCUCUUGCUGUAGUUUCCAAUAGUUUGAUAUACAAGCAGUGCUUUUAUAAGUGUCCUGUCCAUGUUAGUCUACCCUGUGGUGUAUGUUUCUGAAGAUGGGAUUUCUAGGUCAAAUGGUGUAUACAUUUAGAAUUGUGGUAGACAUGAGUGGACUAUUUUCUGUGCAGUUUUAGGCCAAGUUUCAGCAAUGUGUGAUGCUCCAUAAAUCAUCAAUAACUGUGUUUUUGUGUGUUGGGGUGUGUGUGUGUGUGUGUGUGUGCACAUGUAUGUUCAGAUGCAUAAAUGUAUGGGUUCAUAUGCAUGUGGCCCGAAGUUGACACCAGGUGUCUGCAAUUACUGUUCAAUUUAUUUUGUAAGACAGGAUCUCAGUGAACAUGGAGCUCAAUUCAGGUAGACAUUAAGCACGAAGAGCCCGCCUAUCUCUGAGUCCCCAGUCCUUGGGGUUACUGUGUGUGUUGCUGUGGUUACUUGUGUGUGUUGCUGUGGUUACUUGUGUGUGUUGCUGUGGUUACUUGUGUGUGUUGCUGUGGUUACUUGUGUGUGUUGCUGUGGUUACUUGUGUGUGUUGCUCUGCUCCACUUUCCUAUGGAACUCUUAGGGGCUCGAAUUGAGGUUUUCCUGCCUGCUGAUGAGCCAUCUCCCCAUCCCACUAACUUUAUUUUUAAAAAUCUUCAUUUCUUUGCUAAUGUGAUAGAUGAAUUAUAUAGCAGUUUUCUGUUAUAGAUUUUAUGGUAUUCUUCUCAUAGGUGUGUUUGUAUAAACUCAAAAUUGUUCAUGAGGUCUGGCAAUCCAAAUUGAUUCUUUUUCUCUAAAGCUACUUAUAAGAUUGAUGGCUGAUGAUUUAUAAAUUUACCUUUUAAAAAUAGUUUUUAUAAUGGGCUGAAUUUCAAAUAGGUUUAGAAAGCACUCACUGAUGUUUCUCUGUUUAUUUCCAGUCUUGGAUUUACAUGAGUAAGAGACAUGUAAACUUGAGAGUCUCUUAUAUUUCCUGAACUAAGUUUCAUUAGUAAAUUCCCAUUCUUUCUUUUCCCUCCAUCUUUAUUAAAUUGGGUAUUUCCUAUUUACAUUUCAAUUGUUAUUCCCUUUCCCAAUUUCCAGGUCAACAUCCCCCAACCCCUCCGCGCCUUCUAUAUGGGUGCUCCCCUCUCUAUCCUCCCCCCAUUACCACCCUCCCCCCAACAAUCACGUUCACUGAGGGUUCGGUCUUGGCAGGACCAAGGGCUUCCUCUUCCACUGGUGUCCUUACUAGAUUAUUCAUUGCUACCUAUGAGGUUGGAGCCCAGGGUCAGUCCAUGUAUAGUCUUUGGGUAGUGGCUUAGUCCCUGGAAGCUCUGGUUGGUUGGCAGUAAAUUCCCAUUCUUAAUGAUAUUGUCACAGAGGCUGGGGACCCAGCGUUUCGGCAGCUCAGUAGUUCAACACAUGCCUAGAGCAUGCAUAAAGUCUUGCAUUUCAUUCCCAGCAUUGACAUAAAGAGUUGACACUGAUAGUUUAAGUGUCAUGCCUGUCAGUUUUUUCAGUUUCUAGCUUCUCACAUCUUUGCUAAAGAAUGGUUUUAUCAAGGUGAACAUAUCCAGAUGUCAAAUAACAUCCUUCUGUUCUUGGUUCUUUCAGUGUAUCAUGGUUUGCUGUACACAGUAAAAAGGUGUAAUCUUGUUUUGAUUAUUACAGACAUUUGCAUGGCUAACCACUGUCUGAUGACACAGUUCUUUCUUCUACCAUCUCCUUAUUGGUAGAACCAAGCGUAUUUUUGUUUCACUACCAUGUUCUGUCAAG